UAUGUGAUCGUCUCUCGCAUAUCAAUAAGCGGAGGAAAAGAGUGCUAUUACCUACGCUUAGGAUGUUGAAGAUGUAGCACAUCAUACACGCAUGACACACUGCAUAUCAAUAAGCGGAGGAAAAGAAACUAACAAGGAUUCCCCUAGUAACGGCGAGUGAAGCGGGAAGAGCUCAAAUUUGAAAUCUUAAAGGGUUUCCCUUUACGAAUUGUAGUUUAAAGAAGUGUUUUCUGUUGAGGUUUUGGUAAAAGUUCUUUGGAAUAGGACAUCAUAGAGGGUGAGAAUCCCGUAUUUGACCUUUACUUUCAACUUUGUGAUACACUUUCAAAGAGUCGGAUUGUUUGGGAAUGCAGUCCAAAAUGGGUGGUAAAUCUCAUCUAAAGCUAAAUAUUGGCGAGAGACCGAUAGCGAACAAGUACCGUGAGGGAAAGAUGAAAAGAACUUUGAAAAGAGAGUUAAACAGUACGUGAAAUUGUCAAAAGGGAAGCGUUUGACACCAGUGUUGUUUUUCUGAAAAUCAAUUAAAGAACUGUUUAUGCUAAGCUGUUUAGACUUUAUCAGCUAACUGUUUAGUUUUGAGCUUUUCUUUAAUGCACUUUUCAGUUAACAAGUCAACAUCAAUUUCUUUUGCUGUAAAAAAGCUUGAGGAAGGUGGCUUGAGAUUCGUCUUAAGUGUUUAUAGCCUCUUGCCUAUGCAGUCGGAGAGAUUGAGGUCUGCAGCGUAGAUCCUUCGGGGCUAAAUGCAUUUGUGCUAAGUUAUAGACAUUUUAUAGACAACUUGUUGACUAUGAUUUGUCUUGUAGCUUACUCGCUUAUGUUAUUUUACCUACGCUUAGGAUGUUGAAGAUAUGCGCGACACG
rnacentral:rRNA from 1 species